UACGGAGGGUGCAAGCGUUGUCCGGAAUCACUGGGCGUAAAGGGCGCGUAGGCGGCUCAUGAAGGCUGUGGUGAAAGUCCGGGGCUCAACCUCGGAUCGGCCGUGGCGACUCGUGGGCUGGAGCACUGUAGAGGCGGGUGGAAUUCCGGGUGGAGCGGUGGAAUGCGUAGAGAUCAGGAGGAACACCGGUGGCGAAGGCGGGUCUCUGGGCCGUUACUGACGCUGAGGAGCGAAAGCGUGGGGAGCGAACAGG
rnacentral:rRNA from 1 species